AGUGUCCAUUUUGCUUGGAGAUGGAUGCUAAGAUGUAAACUGACUGAUCACCCCAGGUAACUGUCUCUCCACAUCAAUCUAUUGAUUCUCACUGCAUGGAGUGAAGAAGAAACCACCAGAUCAGAUAAGUCGACAUUUUCACUGGACCGAUUGGACUGAAAAGGCAAGAUUGAAUGAGAAUGAUUUCUCCUUUAAAAUUGUCACAAAAC
rnacentral:lncRNA from 1 species